rnacentral:rRNA from 1 species
AGUUCGGAUUGCAGUCUGCAACUCGAGUGCAUGAAGCUGGAAUCGCUAGUAAUCGCGGAUCAGAAUGCCGCGGUGAAUACGUUCCCGGGUCUUGUACACACCGCCCGUCACACCAUGGGAGUCGGGAAUGCCCGAAGCCGGUGGCCCAACCUGUAAAGAAGGGAGCCGUCGAAGGCAGGCCGGAUGACUGGGGUGAAGUCGUAACAAGGUAGC